rnacentral:rRNA from 1 species
AAUCUUGAGGUAGAAGCUUCUAACUCCCUCUGAAGUCAACUUCUAAGAUUAGACCUCAGAUCAGGCAGGACUACCCGCUGAACUUAAGCAUAUCAAUAAGCGGAGGAAAAGAAACUAACAAGGAUUCCCCUAGUAGCGGCGAGCGAAGCGGGAAGAGCUCAAAUUUGUAAUCUGGCACCUUCGGUGUCCGAGUUGUAAUCUCGAGAAGUGUUUUCCGCGCCAGACCGCAUAUAAGUCUGUUGGAAUACAGCGUCAUAGGUGGUGACAACCCCGUACAUGAUGCGGAUGCCUGGUGCUCUGUGAUACACUUUCGAAGAGUCGAGUUGUUUGGGAAUGCAGCUCAAAUUGGGUGGUAAAUUCCAUCUAAAGCUAAAUAUUGGCGAGAGACCGAUAGCGAACAAGUACCGUGAGGGAAAGAUGAAAAGCACUUUGGAAAGAGAGUUAAAAGUACGUGAAAUUGUUGAAAGGGAAACGCUUGAAGUCAGACUUGCGUAUUGGAGUUCAGCCGCAAGGUGUAUUCUUCAGUUUGCAGGCCAGCAUCAGUUUUUGGGGGUACAAAAGGGUGAGAGGAAGGUAGCAGUCUCGGCUGUGUUAUAGCCUCUCACUGGAUGUAUCCUUGGGGACUGAGGAACGCAGCGCACUUUUUGCAAGCCUCUCGAGGCUUUUUGCGCUUAGGAUGCUGGUGGAAUGGCUUUAAACGACCCGUCUUGAAACACGGACCAAGGAGUCUAACAUGCUU